UACGAAGGGUGCAAGCGUUACUCGGAAUUACUGGGCGUAAAGCGUGCGUAGGCGGCUUUGCAAGUGGCGGGUGAAAUCCCUCGGCUUAACCGAGGAACUGCCUGUCAAACUGCAUGGCUUGAGACCGGGAGAGGUGAGUGGAAUUCCCAGUGUAGCGGUGAAAUGCGUAGAUAUUGGGAGGAACACCAGUGGCGAAGGCGGCUCACUGGACCGGUACUGGACGCUGAUGCGCGAAAGCGUGGGGAGCAAAC
rnacentral:rRNA from 1 species